UGGGAAGGGAACAUCAGCUCACACUCUAAGAAAUCAUUGUAUUGGAAGAGCAGGGGCUGGGGGUAGAGAGAAUGUGAUGGCUAAUCUUGGUUGUCAACUCGGCUACAUCUGAAAUCAACUAAAGCUCAUGCAGCUGAAGCACUCCCCUUGGGGACCACACCUUCUGCUGGCAGCCCACUUACAAGGACAUGGAGGAAGGAGGCGCUGCUUCCUGCCUGCUUGUUCUCACUCUCAUCGGCAAGUUCAUCUGUCCUGUUGCUGCAGCCUGUAUUAAAUCCAACACUGUCGGGAUUCCAAUGUAGACUGACAAACUUCAGCCCUGCAGGAAUCCUCCAGGACUUCAUCAAUAGAUAGUGUUUGCAGAGACGCCCAACCUCCCAGACUGAACAAUUACCAGAUUCCCAGGCUUUCCAUAUCUGCCUUUCCACUGUGAAACAGCCACGAUUGGACUACCCAGACCAUAUCCUGAAAGCCAGUCUAAGAAAUCUCUGAGUCCUAGCCCUCUCCUUGUGUAUAUGUCUGUGUCAAUAUUUCCUCUUUUUAUGAGAACAGUAUUCAUAUUAAACUAACACUCGCACUG